rnacentral:rRNA from 1 species
AUUGAACGCUGGCGGCAGGCCUAACACAUGCAAGUCGAGCGGAUGAAGGGAGCUUGCUCCUGGAUUCAGCGGCGGACGGGUGAGUAAUGCCUAGGAAUCUGCCUGGUAGUGGGGGAUAACGUCCGGAAACGGGCGCUAAUACCGCAUACGUCCUGAGGGAGAAAGUGGGGGAUCUUCGGACCUCACGCUAUCAGAUGAGCCUAGGUCGGAUUAGCUAGUUGGUGGGGUAAAGGCCUACCAAGGCGACGAUCCGUAACUGGUCUGAGAGGAUGAUCAGUCACACUGGAACUGAGACGCGGUCCAGACUCCUACGGGAGGCAGCAGUGGGGAAUAUUGGAAGAUGGGCGAAAGCCUGAUCCAGCCAUGCCGCGUGUGUGAAGAAGGUCUUCGGAUUGUAAAGCACUUUAAGUUGGGAGGAAGGGCAGUAAGUUAAUACCUUGCUGUUUUGACGUUACCAACAGAAUAAGCACCGGCUAACUUCGU